ensembl:lncRNA
UAUAUAUAUAUAUAUAUUCGCUUGUUUCUGUUUAUUUCUGCUGGUCUAUACAUAUACACCAAAACAGUGACAUAACCUUUAAACAAAAUGUAAAGCUUCAGUUAACUAAUUAAUAAUAACUUUAUACAUUAUAAUGAUUAUAUGCUUAAGAAAUUAUUAAAAUUGUUAUAGGCCUAUACAGUAAAAAUAUUGUCCAAGUCAAACAGAUUUAUAUAUGUGUAUUAUAUAAUAUACACCAAAAUGUAUUAUUUAGUAUUGUAGCCUACCUUAAAACUUUCCCCAUCUGUCUCGUCUGUUUUCCAGUGGUGUGGACCUUGCCCAGAUUUAUAGGGCGUCUGCUUGUGUAGAUUGGACUCUCAUUAUCUGAUGAAGUGGAUGGUCUGAAGUCGGUUUUGUGAUUUUCUUUUGAUAAGAUUAAUCAGACUGAAACGUGUUCACAGUCUGCACUGGACACUGGGAAUGUACCACAAACACCAAUCAGCUGUACAAACUCAUAUCAGUGAACUCCUCUCUUUUUACUGUCCAGGUCACCAUCUCAGCCAAUGUCCACAGUGCUCCCAUCUGCUUUUCUUUCAUCGUGAACCUGAAAUCCUUAUACUGCUGACGGAUAUAUCUAACCCCUAUCCUCUGCUCUGUGGCAGUCUUCUCCCAUUGUUUUAAAAUACUUUGGGCCUUCUCUGUCAGUCUGCUUACGUCAUCUGUACCAUGCUCUAAACCAAGUGUUUUUGAAUCCAGUGUUUCUCGGUUAAAAGCGGACCAUUCCUUAAGCUCACCUUCAGGAAAUCGAGCAAUAAUUUCCGCUGGAUUUACCAGUAAACAUCUCUCCAUAUUUACCAGUAAACAUCUCUCUGAGAUACUGAGAAGGAAGGUUUUCCAUUUUAUCUCUGGCAAACAUGAACCAUUUCAUUUAGCCAUUCUUGGGUGAAAGACAAGAGAACUAUUUUCUUUAAAGACUGGGGUAUUUGGGGGUAUUUGGGAUAAAGUUAGUAACGUUUCUUCUCGUGUUAUUUCUGCUCCAGUCGGGAAGUAGGAAGUUUUUUGUUGCGCGCGACCUGCAGUUAGGGUUAAUAUUAGCGUUGGGGUUAGUCUGUGUGGCCGUGCACGCGCACAGCUGAAAGAAACACUGGAACACACAUAGCUUUGUUUGUAAUUAACAUGUUUACCGAAUUAUAAGAACAUUAUAAUUAUUAGUAAUAAGACAUUAAUGAUGAAUUGUGAUUGUAAUAUGAUUAGCGGUUAUAUCUGGAGCUCUCUGUGGAAAAAAACAGUUUUAAAGUAAUAAAUCACUUACAUAAAAUACGAAACCGCUCCCUUGUUAGCCACAAGCUACUUGUGCUGUGGUCUGUAUUAAACACGGGAAGUAGAGCGAUGCGUGACAAUGCUAAUGCUAAUGCUACUGGAAACGGCCG